CGCACAUUGCGCCCCUCGGCAUUCCGAGGGGCAUGCCUGUCCGAGCGUCAUUUCAAUCUCAAGCCAAGCUUGGUGUUAGGUGCUAGGCCCUCCGGGGCCCGCCUGUAACUUGUGGAGCGGGACCGCCCAGCUUUGAGCGUAGCAAGAAUCCUCCCUCGCUCUAAAAGCCCCGGCGGCCCUCGCCCGGUAACGAAAGCCUGGACUUUGACCUCGGAUCAGGUAGGGAUACCCGCUGAACUUAA
rnacentral:misc_RNA from 1 species